rnacentral:rRNA from 1 species
GUCCUACGGGAGGCAGCAGUGGGGGAUAUUGCACAAUGGGGGAAACCCUGAUGCAGCGACGCCGCGUGGGGGAAGACGGUCCUCUGGAUUGUAAACCACUGUCCCCAGGGACGAAGAUGGCGGUACCUGACCAAGAAGCCCCGGCUAACUCCGUGCCAGCAGCCGCGGUAAUACGGAGGGUGCGAGCGUUAAUCGGAAUUACUGGGCGUAAAGCGCUCGUAGGCGGUAUGUCAAGUCUAGGGUGAAAUCCCCGCGCUCAACGUGGGAACUGCCUUUGAAACUGGCAAACUGGAGUGUGUGAGAGG